ACUCAAAUGAAUUGACGGGGGCUUGCACAAGUGGUGGAGCGUGUGGCUCAAUUCGUCGCUAAGCGAAGAACCUUACCAGGGCUAGAAAUCCUACUGCACGCCUAGCGAAAGCUAGGAAGCCUUCGAGGGUGUAGGACAGGUGAUGCAUGGCUGUCGUCAGUUCGUGGUUUGAAUCGUUCCCUUCAGUGGGGUAACGAACGCAACCCUCGUUGCCUGUUAUAUUUGUCAGGCGAGACUGCCCCCUCACGGGGGAGGAAGGUGAGGAUGACGCCAAGUCAGCAUGUCCCUCUGAUGUCCUGGGCUGCACACGCGCUACAAUCGCCGUUACAACGAGGCGCAAUGGGGUAACCCGGAGCAAAUCUUUCAAAAGCGGCGCCAGUUCGGAUUGAGGGCUGCAACUCGCCCUCAUGAAGCCGGAAUCACUAGUAAUCGCGGGUCAGCCACACCGCGGUGAAUACGUUCUCAAGCCUUGUACACACCGCCCGU
rnacentral:rRNA from 1 species